GGGAGCGGCCGGUCAGGUCGCGGCUCGCGGGCCGCGGUUCGCGAACGGCCAUAAUAAAACUGCACUAAGUGUCACUAUUAUAAGAAGCUGUAUCGCUCCAAUAGAAUACAAAAAUACGUACUCACGCCUCACGGUACUGGUCUGGUGGUCACAAUCACUGAGUGUACAACACUUCGCCAAACACAACACGCACACUCAGGGUAACUGGCUCUCCGUGACCCUAACGCCGAAUUAAAUUCCAGCGGGAAGGUCAGGGACAGGACAGCUCCCAGCAAUGCGAUAAUCCACCUACGAUAAUCCACCUAGGAAAUAACAGACUGAUCUAUUGACUAAUCAGCCUGUAGUCUGUACAGCCUGUUCACAGACACUGUAUCCACAGAACACUGUAUCAACGGUACCGCAAUCCAGCACUACUCGGACGAGGUACAUUCGUACUACACGCGGACCGCCGACGGCUACUACGUACGGCGAUAUCGCAGCAUACGGAGCACGAGACACGAGUACUGCGGGCGAGAGCCAGGACGAUCCUCUCUUGAGUCCGGACGGAUGGACAUAACGUUUUUAAAUAACUAUUUGUCGCUACGCCGCAAAGGCGAAAGGGAUUUUUUUAACACAUCUCUUUCUAUAUUCGAUCGAUAGCUUGCCUGUGCUGUCCGUUUGGCCAAAAGGCCCAGUUUUCCCAUUAAAUCCUAUCACUUGAAGGCUCAAAUAAUUCUUUACUGUAUUCAUAUACUUUUUCUGUUUAUUUUUAUUUUUUGUUUUUUUCUUGUGUCUUCAUGUAAAAUUGAGGGAUUAGGGUAAGCUAAUGUUGGCCUUUGUAUUUUUUUAGUAUAAAGCGUCUCUGUCACGGUAAUGUCACUAAUAUAGUUAGUUAGUACGUUCGUUAUAGAAGUUGAAACACA